rnacentral:rRNA from 1 species
UACAGAGGGCUCAAGCGUUGUUCGGAUUCAUUGGGCGUAAAGGGUGUGUAGGCGGCGCUGUAAGUCGGGUGUGAAAUUUCGGAGCUUAACUCCGAAACUGCAUUCGAUACUGCGGUGCUUGAGGACUGGAGAGGAGACUGGAAUUUACGGUGUAGCAGUGAAAUGCGUAGAUAUCGUAAGGAAGACCAGUGGCGAAGGCGGGUCUCUGGACAGUUCCUGACACUGAGACACGAAGGCCAGGGGAGCAAACGGG